rnacentral:rRNA from 1 species
GACGAACGCUGGCGGCGUGCUUAACACAUGCAAGUCGAACGGAAAGGCCCUGCUGGUGUGGGGUGCUCGAGUGGCGAACGGAAGAGUAACAUGUGAGUAACCUGACUUUGACUUAGGGAUAACUUAAGGAAACUGGGGCUAAUAACGGAUAGGAGCUCCAGCUGCAUGGUGGGGGUUGGAAUGUUUCGGCGGUUGGGGAUGGACUCGCGGCUUAUCAGCUUGUUGGUGGGGUAGUGGCUUACCAAGGCUUUGACGGGUAGCCGGCCUGAGAGGGUGACCGGCCACAUUGGGACUGAGAUACGGCCCAGACUCCUACGGGAGGCAGCAGUGGGGAAUAUUGCACAAUGGGCGGAAGCCUGAUGCAGCAACGCCGCGUGCGGGAUGACGGCCUUCGGGUUGUAAACCGCUUUCGCCUGUGACGAAGCGUGAGUGACGGUAAUGAGUAAAGAAGCACCGGCUAACUACGUG